AUACGUAGGGAGCAAGCGUUAUCCGGAUUCAUUGGGCGUAAAGCGCGCGUAGGCGGCUUAUUAAGUCAGGUGUCAAAUCCAGAGGCUCAACCUCUGUCCGCACCUGAAACUGAUAGGCUUGAGUUUGGUAGAGGAAGAUGGAAUUCCCAGUGUAGCGGUGAAAUGCGCAGAUAUUGGGAGGAACACCAAUGGCGAAGGCAGUCUUCGUGGGCCAUAACUGACGCUGAGGUGACGAAAGCUGGGGGAGC
rnacentral:rRNA from 1 species